UGCAAGUCGAGCGGACAGAUGGGAGCUUGCUCCCUGAAGUCAGCGGCGGACGGGUGAGUAACACGUGGGCAACCUGCCUGUAAGACUGGGAUAACUUCGGGAAACCGGAGCUAAUACCGGAUAACACCGAGGACCACAUGGUCCUUGGUUGAAAGAUGGUUUCGGCUAUCACUUACAGAUGGGCCCGCGGCGCAUUAGCUAGUUGGUGAGGUAACGGCUCACCAAGGCGACGAUGCGUAGCCGACCUGAGAGGGUGAUCGGCCACACUGGGACUGAGACACGGCCCAGACUCCUACGGGAGGCAGCAGUAGGGAAUCUUCCGCAAUGGACGAAAGUCUGACGGAGCAACGCCGCGUGAGCGAUGAAGGCCUUCGGGUCGUAAAGCUCUGUUGUUAGGGAAGAACAAGUACCAGAGUAACUGCUGGUACCUUGACGGUACCUAACCAGAAAGCCACGGCUAACUACGUGCCAGCAGCCGCGGUAAUACGUAGGUGGCAAGCGUUGUCCGGAAUUAUUGGGCGUAAAGCGCGCGCAGGCGGUUCCUUAAGUCUGAUGUGAAAGCCCACGGCUCAACCGUGGAGGGUCAUUGGAAACUGGGGAACUUGAGUGCAGAAGAGGAAAGCGGAAUUCCACGUGUAGCGGUGAAAUGCGUAGAGAUGUGGAGGAACACCAGUGGCGAAGGCGGCUUUCUGGUCUGUAACUGACGCUGAGGCGCGAAAGCGUGGGGAGCAAACAGGAUUAGAUACCCUGGUAGUCCACGCCGUAAACGAUGAGUGCUAAGUGUUAGGGGGUUUCCGCCCCUUAGUGCUGCAGCUAACGCAUUAAGCACUCCGCCUGGGGARUACGGCCGCAAGGCUGAAACUCMAAGGAAUUGACGGGGGCCCGCMCAAGCGG
rnacentral:rRNA from 1 species